AGGUGCAGGGCCACCUACCAGAGUGCAUAUCUCAAUUCGGGUUCUGUGGGCCAUACCUCUGUAUUUGCAAAAUCAGCUAAAAAAAAAGCUCAGGUGGGGACAAAGAAUGAAGAUCUAACUGCCAGAUGAACCAAGUGGCCCCAGCAAAGGUAUCUUCCAGACCAUGUGAUCUCCCACGUGAAUAGUGAAUACUGACUGAAGUCACCAUCUGUCCAGGGAAGAAGAAAUUCAUCAGAAGUUCCCCACUGUUGAGAAACCACAAAUAGGUAUCUUCCAGACCAUGUGAUCUCCCACGUGAAUAGUGAAUACUGACUGAAGUCACCAUCUGUCCAGGGAAGAAGAAAUUCAUCAGAAGUUCCCCACUGUUGAGAAACCAC